ACAAGGCCUCUUAGCUCUUUUCUCUUAGUACAUUUUCAGUAAUGUUAAAAAAAAAAAAAAAAAGUGAAUGAUAAAUACUUUAACGUAGCAACAGCUGUUAGGUCUGAGAAGCAGUUCUGGUUUUUAUCUUGCUCAGGAUAUUGCUAACCAGAGUAUCCAGUAAUGGGUAUGUGUUGGGAUGUUCAAAACUAUUUUUACAUGUACCGAUAAAGCUGAAGUGUUAAGAGAAAUUUGUGUAUGUGUAAUGAAAUGAAAAGUCAUAUAGCUUCAAGUCCGUAGCUACCUGUAUGAGAGAGAGGAAGUACAAGAAGUGUUGUGGAAUAAGGAAUAGUCCUGUGAGGGAACUAAAAGAAAGCAUCCUUCAGGAAAUGUAUCUGUUUAGCUACAGCUAGGCUGCUGACAAUAAAAGGGAAUCUUAAGAAUGAUGAGCCCUGUGUGAAUGCCUGCUGUGCUGAUCUGCUCAUUCUGUCCCAAAGAAACCUGAGCCGUAGGUUAUCUGAGCCACAGAGAAGGCUGCUCCCUGCUUCUUUCUUUCUCCUGCUGGCAUGCACUGUGGUUUGGGUAUGUAUUCCUUGCAGACAAAGCUAAACGUUGGCUCUGGGUACCCAAGCCCUAAUAUCAUGAGAAAUGCUGCUAUCAGUGCUGAAUGAAGAGACCUACAAAUGUGAACUCCAACGAUAAUCCCUGCAGUGAACCCCAUCAGUGUGAAGUCUUGUUUAUAGAAGUGUACCUGGCACUGAAAGAUAUCUAAUGUAAGGUGGUGCCUUGGGAUACCACCAGUGAAAGGCAGUGAUGAUUGGCUUCAGCUUCAUGGAAGAACUGGGCUAAGUGAUACAGCCUCUUGCUGAACCUGGACUCGUAGAACAUCCUGAGCUGGAAGGGACCUGCAAGGAUCAUUGAGUCUAAGGUUGCUUUUGGAAGGAGUCAGUCAGACCCCUCUCCUGACGGGAACAGAACAAAAUAUAAACGAAGCAGACAGCCCAGCAGGAAGAAGGCUGAAAGCUCGGGAUGUACCAAUGUGCUUUGGAGGGCUGCCUGCUGACUAACGAACAGUCAGGCCUGCUCGCUGCUUCUACAGAGUACUGAGUAUUUAAAUCUUCAAGAACAUUUAAAGAACAAAGGUGAAAAUACCUUCUGUUUCCUCCUGACAUGCUUAUCAGAGCCUGCCUCUGCCCUCUCCUCUGCAGCAGAAGCUGCGCUGCCAGGACUGCACCACACUGAUGUAAACUCUCUUGGCAUCAGCACUGCCAGCCAGCAAACAAACCUCUGCUCUAUGCCUCUGUCAUACAUCUUGCCUUGCUAACAUGGGAAAGACAUGGCGUGGUACAAGUUAAAUACAUCAUUUGGGUGUGAUAUGGUAUCUGCUUCAAGUGUUCAAUAGCCAAGAACGUGAAGUUUAGUGUUUCAUCAUUAUAACACCUGAGGGGCUUAGGGGUGUGUUCUGGCAAUGGGAUGAGGUAUUGUCACGGAUGGGAUACGGUGCUAGAUCAGUCUGGAUUGCUAGACAAAUGGGCGCCUGUGCUAAGAUUGUGAAAUAAAGCUCCUUUCAGCAUGGGAGAGGGAAGCGAACGCCCUGAGAGAGCAAAGUCCUUCGAGUACCUGGCAGCAUGCUGGCACCGGCAGCAGCUGGCACAGGUAGUCAGCAGAACCAAAUUGAAGAGGUCAGGGAAAGUGCGGGGAAGUCUUUUUUAUCUGGUCAGGCGUGCACCCAAAACUAGUCAUGCUUUCGCUUGUUCAGCAGUACAAAUCUAGGAGCAAAAUGCAUCAGAGACAUCAGAUGCCCUUCAUCUCAUUUACUGGAUAAAAGAAUACGGUGAGUGGAAAGCUGCUUCGCACAUGUGCUGUUUUUUUGUCACUCCAAUUGCAGUAGAAAUAGAAGUGCUUCCUUUUAAACUGUUUUCUAUUGUUGAUGGAUUAGGGUUUUUACCUUCCUCAAGCCUUAAUUCUAGUGAUGAAAUUUAGUUUUAAAUAGUCCUGCUGCCAGCACCAGUGUCUGUUCUGUCUCUGCAAACUCAGGCAUGUCAGUGAACAGUUCUGCAACAGUGCUGGUGAUGCUGCACCAACAGAGAGAAAACCUUUCUAUAACUGGUACCAAAUGCUGACUGAGCAAGCUUAUAGCAUUUAACCGCUAUUUAAAUGUGCAGAGAAAACAAGCAACCCGCUCCUUUACUGUGUCUUUCCUGCUUUCUCCCCUGCAAAGAAACCCAUCCCACAAACUGCCUGUUGCUGCUCUGUAGGUACUUGCAUGUUCCGAACUGGCAGACCCACGCAUGCCUCAAACCUAAUUAAGAUGUCUCCCAAACCAGAGAUAGGAAUGUGUAUUUCAGUGUUGGUAAAUACAAUUUGGAGUGGCAUUCCUUAAGGCAUUCUACUUUUCAGGUACUAUUUGUACUUUCAUUAUCCCAAGUCAGACUUGUGCAUUACUAGGGUGACGUUGCUAACCUUUUGGUGGGGAUCUGAGUAAUCACUGGCAGCAGCGGGCACAGACCCUUACAGGUGCAUGGAUUGCAAUUGCAUGUGCCUUAUUUCCUCUAUA